UCCUGCGCAGCUAUAAUGCAGUCGAGCGGACAGAUGGGAGCUUGCUCCCUGAUGUUAGCGGCGGACGGGUGAGUAACACGUGGGUAACCUGCCUGUAAGACUGGGAUAACUCCGGGAAACCGGGGCUAAUACCGGAUGGUUGUUUGAACCGCAUGGUUCAAACAUAAAAGGUGGCUUCGGCUACCACUUACAGAUGGACCCGCGGCGCAUUAGCUAGUUGGUGAGGUAAUGGCUCACCAAGGCAACGAUGCGUAGCCGACCUGAGAGGGUGAUCGGCCACACUGGGACUGAGACACGGCCCAGACUCCUACGGGAGGCAGCAGUAGGGAAUCUUCCGCAAUGGACGAAAGUCUGACGGACCAACGCCGCGUGAGUGAUGAAGGUUUUCGGAUCGCAAACCUCUGUUGCUACGGAAGAACAAGUAGCGUUCGAAUCCGGCGGUCCUUGACGGCACCUAACCCGCCAGCCACUGUC
rnacentral:rRNA from 2 species